AUUGAACGCUGGCGGCAUGCCUUACACAUGCAAGUCGAACGGUAACAGGUUAAGCUGACGAGUGGCGAACGGGUGAGUAAUAUAUCGGAACGUGCCCAGUCGUGGGGGAUAACGUAGCGAAAGCUACGCUAAUACCGCAUACGAUCUACGGAUGAAAGCGGGGGAUCGCAAGACAUCUCGCGAUUGGAGCGGCCGAUAUCAGAUUAGGUUGUUGGUGAGGUAAAAGCUCACCAAGCCUGCGAUCUGUAGCUGGUCUGAGAGGACGACCAGCCACACUGGAACUGAGACACGGUCCAGACUCCUACGGGAGGCAGCAGUGGGGAAUUUUGGACAAUGGACGCAAGUCUGAUCCAGCAAUGCCGCGUGCAGGACGAAGGCCUUCGGGUUGUAAACUGCUUUUGUACGGAACGAAACGGUGAGCUCUAAUACAGUUUGCUAAUGACGGUACCGUAAGAAUAAGCACCGGCUAACUACGUGCCAGCAGCCGCGGUAA
rnacentral:rRNA from 1 species